AAAAAAAACAAACCCUGGUUUCCGUGCCCAACAUUUGACCGUCCGUUUUAUUUAAAAAAAUUAUGAAAAAAAUUAAAAAGACAAGUCACGCAUAAAAUAUUAAUCAUGUUUUAUCAUCUAACAAUAAUGAAAAUACGAAUUAUAAAAAAAUUCCAUAUAAGACGGACCGUUAAAGUUGGACACGGAAACUCAGGGUUUGACUUUUU
rnacentral:pre_miRNA from 1 species